GUUUUCAUGGAUAGGACUUGUAGGCGAAAAUGGUGCUAGAAGUAGAGAUGAAAUUGUGGGUUUAGUGGAGCGAGAAGAAGAAGAAACUGGAUCCAUAUCUUGGGUUUCUUGUUGGUUUUGCGUUCUGGGUUUUCUAUAUCUAAUCUGUUCUGAAACCGUGGAGCUUUCUGAGAAUACCACAGGCAUGGUUGCUCUGCACUGUAAAGAUGAAAGAAGACAACAAUGGAGAAUUCAAGAUUUGGGUUUGUAAAGAAAAUU
rnacentral:misc_RNA from 1 species